rnacentral:rRNA from 1 species
AGUGAACGCUGGCGGUAGGCCUAACACAUGCAAGUCGAACGGCAGCACAGUAAGAGCUUGCUCUUACGGGUGGCGAGUGGCGGACGGGUGAGGAAUACAUCGGAAUCUACUUUUUCGUGGGGGAUAACGUAGGGAAACUUACGCUAAUACCGCAUACGACCUACGGGUGAAAGCAGGGGAUCUUCGGACCUUGCGCGAUUGAAUGAGCCGAUGUCGGAUUAGCUAGUUGGCGGGGUAAAGGCCCACCAAGGCGACGAUCCGUAGCUGGUCUGAGAGGAUGAUCAGCCACACUGAAACUGAGACACGGUCAGACUCCUACGGGAGGCAGCAGUGGGGAAUAUUGGACAAUGGGCGCAAGCCUGAUCCAGCCAUACCGCGUGGGUGAAGAAGGCCUUCGGGUUGUAAAGCCCUUUUGUUGGGAAAGAAAAGCAGCAGGUUAAUACCCCGCUGUUCUGACGGUACCCAAAGAAUAAGCACCGGCUAACUUCGUG